rnacentral:rRNA from 1 species
GAUGAACGCUGGCGGCGUGCCUAACACAUGCAAGUCGAGCGAUUUACUUCGGUAAAGAGCGGCGGACGGGUGAGUAACGCGUGGGUAACCUGCCCUGUACACACGGAUAACAUACCGAAAGGUAUGCUAAUACGAGAUAAUAUGCUUUUAUCGCAUGGUAGAAGUAUCAAAGCUUUUGCGGUACAGGAUGGACCCGCGUCUGAUUAGCUAGUUGGUGAGGUAACGGCUCACCAAGGCGACGAUCAGUAGCCGACCUGAGAGGGUGAUCGGCCACAUUGGAACUGAGACACGGUCCAAACUCAUACGGGAGGCAGCAGUGGGGAAUAUUGCACAACGGGCGAAAGCCUGAUGCAGCAACGCCGCGUGAGCGAUGAAGGCCUUCGGGGCGUAAAGCUCUGUCCUCAAGGAAGAUAAUGACGGUACUUGAGGAGGAAGCCCCGGCUAACUACGUG